ACUCAAAUGAAUAGACGGGGACCCGCACAAGCAGAGGAACAUGUGGUUUAAUUCGACGGUAAGCGAAGAACCUUACCCAGGCUUGACAUGUAGCUGCAAGCCGCUGGAAACAGUGGCUGCCUUCGAGGGUGCUACACAGGUGCUGCAUGGUUGCCGUCAGCUCGUGUCGUGAGAUGUACCGUUAAGUCGGGUAACGAGCGCAACCCCUUUCCCGUGUUGAUUUUCACGGGAGACUGCCUCGGAUAACGGGGAGGAAGGUGGGGAUGACGUCAAAUCAGCAUGGCUCUUACGCCUGGGGCUACACACGUGUUACAAUGGCGCAGAACAAUGGGUUGCCAAGCCGCAAGGCGGAGCUAAUCCCAACAAAAUGCGCCCCAGUUCGGAUUGAGGGCUGCAAUUCGCCCUCAUGAAGCCGGAUUUGCUAGUAACGGCCAAUCAGCCACGUGGCCGUGAAUACGUUCUCGGGUCUUGUACACACCGCCCGU
rnacentral:rRNA from 1 species